AUGUCGUCGGAUCCUCGGAACCCUAAUCCUCCUCCUCCUCCACCUCCCGGUUCUUCGUCAUCCGCGCUUCCGGCGGGGGGCAGCUAUUUCCCGCUCCCUUUCCACCUGCAGCAGCAGCCGGUGGCGACCUACCAGUACCAGCAGCUGCAGCAAGCGCAGCAGCUCUUCCAGCGGGACGCGCAGACCAUCACCCCCGAGGCGCUCGAGAGCGUCAAGGCCGCCCUCGCCACCAGCGACGUCCUCGACCCCUCUGCUGCCAGGGCCUCCGCCUCCUCCUCCGACGCUGCUGCCAAGAAGAAGACAAUCCCUCGUCGUGCAGCCGGACAGUCCUGGGAGGAUCCUACCCUCACCGAGUGGCCCGAAAAUGACUACAGGUUGUUUUGUGGAGAUCUAGGUAACGAAGUUAAUGACGAUGUUCUCUCAAAAGCCUUUUCGCGGUUCCCCUCCUUUAAUAUGGCAAAGGUUGUUAGAGAUAAGAGGACUGGCAAAACAAAAGGUUAUGGAUUCGUCAGUUUUUCAAACCCUACAGACCUUGCUGCAGCAAUAAAAGAAAUGAAUGGAAAGUAUGUUGGGAAUCGCCCUAUUAAAUUGCGUAAGAGCAAUUGGAAGGAGAGGACAGAUGUCGAGGCUCUACAAAGACAAAAGAAUCAUAUUCAGAAGAAACCUAAAACACAAAAGAAGGGUAUUCUUCACAAGUAA
rnacentral:rRNA from 1 species